GGAGUCACAGCGAGGCACUGACCAUGUCCUCAUGCUGGUGAUGUCUCUUGUACCACAUUUUCAUUGUGGAAUGUUUCCCUUUGCCAGUGGAAUGUGCUGCAGCACAUCCCUGGAUUCCACUAUGAACAGCAAAGUGCACACUUAAAGGAGGGCUGAAUUCAAGCACCUUCACGUUUGUCAAAGCCCUUGUAAAGACACCAUUAACUACUUUAUAUGAGUACCUGGCGGGAGGUGGGACCUGCACCAUAACAAAAGCUGGAUCUGCAGAAGCCUUUCCAUGCCUCGUUAGAUCAAUGGCUAAAGAUUCAUGCUGCUUGAAACAAGAAAAACCUAAUGGUGGCUGGUGGGACAAAGAAAAGAAAUAAAAUGGAGGAGGAAAGCUAACAACCUUGAAACAAUAACCAG